rnacentral:rRNA from 1 species
GAUGAACGCUGGCGGCGUGCCUAAUACAUGCAAGUCGAGCGAACAGACGAGGAGCUUGCUCCUCUGACGUUAGCGGCGGACGGGUGAGUAACACGUGGAUAACCUACCUAUAAGACUGGGAUAACUUCGGGAAACCGGAGCUAAUACCGGAUAAUAUAUUGAACCGCAUGGUUCAAUAGUGAAAGACGGUUUUGCUGUCACUUAUAGAUGGAUCCGCGCCGCAUAGCUAGUUGGUAAGGUAACGGCUUACCAAGGCGACGAUGCGUAGCCGACCUGAGAGGGUGAUCGGCCACACUGGAACUGAGACACGGUCCAGACUCCUACGGGAGGCAGCAGUAGGGAAUCUUCCGCAAUGGGCGAAAGCCUGACGGAGCAACGCCGCGUGAGUGAUGAAGGUCUUCGGAUCGUAAAACUCUGUUAUUAGGGAAGAACAAAUGUGUAAGUAACUAUGCACGUCUUGACGGUACCUAAUCAGAAAGACACGGCUAACUACGUG